rnacentral:rRNA from 1 species
CUACGGGAGGCAGCAGUGGGGAAUUUUGGACAAUGGGGGCAACCCUGAUCCAGCCAUGCCGCGUGAGUGAAGAAGGCCUUCGGGUUGUAAAGCUCUUUCAGUCGGGAAGAAAAGGUUACGACUAAUACUUGUAAUCCAUGACG